AUAUUGGACAAUGGGCGCAAGCCUGAUCCAGCCAUGCCGCGUGUGUGAAGAAGGCCUUCGGGUUGUAAAGCACUUUUGUACGGGAAGAAAAGCAUCCGGUUAAUACCCGGGUGUCAUGACGGUACCGUAAGAAUAAGCACCGGCUAACCUCGUGCCAGCAGCCGCGGUAAUACGAAGGGUGCAAGCGUUACUCGGAAUUACUGGGCGUAAAGCGUGCGUAGGUGGUUUGUUAAGUCUGAUGUGAAAGCCCUGGGCUCAACCUGGGAAUUGCAUUGGAUACUGGCAGUCUAGAGUGCGGUAGAGGGUAGCGGAAUUCCCGGUGUAGCAGUGAAAUGCGUAGAUAUCGGGAGGAACAUCCGUGGCGAAGGCGGCUACCUGGACCAGCACUGACACUGAGGCACGAAAGCGUGGGGAGCAAACAGG
rnacentral:rRNA from 1 species